UUAGUUAAAGCCAAAUAGAGGCAUUUCAUUGUUAAUGAAAAUAGUGGGAAUUCCCCUGACUAAA
rnacentral:tRNA from 1 species